GACGAACGCUGGCGGCGUGCCUAAUACAUGCAAGUCGAACGCAGUGGGGACGGUUGAUUAAAACGUGGGUAACCUCCCAUCAGAGGGGAUAACACUUGGAAACAGGUGCUAAACCGAUACUGAUGGAUGGAACCGCGGUGCAUUAGCUAGUUGGUGGGGUAACGGCUCACCAAGGCCACGAGGCGUAGCCGGCCUGCGAGGGUGACCGGACACACGGGGACUGAGACACGGCCCAGACUCCUACGGGAGGCAUCAGUAGGGAAUCUUCGGCAAGGGACGAAAGUCUGACCGAGCAACGCCGCGUGAGUGAAGAAGGUUUUCGGAUCGUAAAACUCUGUUGUUAGAGAAGCGGUAUCUAACCAGAAAGCCACGGCUAACUACGUGCCAGCAGCCGCGGUAAUAC
rnacentral:rRNA from 1 species